UUGUCUCAAAGAUUAAGCCAUGCAUGUCUCAGUGCAAGCCGAAUUAAGGUGAAACCGCGAAAGGCUCAUUAAAUCAGCUAUGGUUCCUUAGAUGGUACGUACAGUUACUUGGAUAACUGUGGCAAUUCUAGAGCUAAUACAUGCAAAUUGAGUUCCGACCGCUGUCGCAGGCGGAAGGAAUGCUUUUAUUAGAUCAAAACCAAUCGGACUUUCCCUCAUAAUCGGGGGAUCGUCCGUUACGUCUUGGUGACUCUGAAUAACUUUGAGCUGAUCGCACGGUCCCGCACCGGCGACGCAUCUUUCAAAUGUCUGACUUAUCAACUUUCGAUGGUAGGCUCUGCGCCUACCAUGGUCGUAACGGGUAACGGGGAAUCAGGGUUCGAUUCCGGAGAGGGAGCCUGAGAAACGGCUACCACAUCCAAGGAAGGCAGCAGGCGCGCAAAUUACCCACUCCCGGAACGGGGAGGUAGUGACGAAAAAUAACGAUGCAGAACUCUUUCCGAGGCUCU
rnacentral:rRNA from 1 species